rnacentral:rRNA from 1 species
GUAGGUGGCAAGCGUUGUCCGGAAUUAUUGGGCGUAAAGCGCGCGUAGGCGGUCCUUUAAGUCUGAUGUGAAAGCCCACGGCUCAACCGUGGAGGGUCAUUGGAAACUGGGGGACUUGAGUACAGAAGAGGAAAGCGGAAUUCCAAGUGUAGCGGUGAAAUGCGUAGAGAUUUGGAGGAACACCAGUGGCGAAGGCGGCUUUCUGGUCUGUAACUGACGCUGAGGCGCGAAAGCGUGGGGAGCAAACAGGAUUAGAUACCCUGGUAGUCCACGCCGUAAACGAUGAGUGCUAAGUGUUAGGGGGUUUCCCGCCCCCUUAGUGCUGCAGCUAACGCAUUAAGCACUCCGCCUGGGGGAGUACGGCCGCAAGGCUG